GAUGAACGCUGGCGGCGUGCCUAAUACAUGCCAGUCGAGCGAACAGACGAGGAGCUUGCUCCUUUGACGUUAGCGGCGGACGGGUGAGUAACACGUGGGUAACCUACCUAUAAGACUGGGAUAACUUCGGGAAACCGGAGCUAAUACCGGAUAAUAUUUCGAACCGCAUGGUUCGAUAGUGAAAGAUGGCUUUGCUAUCACUUAUAGAUGGACCUGCGCCGUAUUAGCUAGUUGGUAAGGUAACGGCUUACCAAGGCAACGAUACGUAGCCGACCUGCGAGGGUGAUCGGCCACACUGGAACUGAGACACGGUCCAGACUCCUACGGGAGGCAGCAGUAGGGAAUCUUCCGCAAUGGGCGAAAGCCUGACGGAGCAACGCCGCGUGAGUGAUGAAGGUCUUCGGAUCGUAAAACUCUGUUAUUAGGGAAGAACAAACGUGUAAGUAACUGUGCACGUCUUGACGGUACCUAAUCAGAAAGCCACGGCUAACUACGUG
rnacentral:rRNA from 1 species